GAUGAACGCUGACAGAAUGCUUAACACAUGCAAGUCUACUUGAACUUCGGUUUGGGUGGCGGACGGGUGAGUAACGCGUAAAGAACUUGCCUCACAGUUAGGGACAACAUUUGGAAACGAAUGCUAAUACCUGAUAUUAUGAUUUUAGGGCAUCCUAAAAUUAUGAAAGCUAUAUGCGCUGUGAGAGAGCUUUGCGUCCCAUUAGCUAGUUGGAGAGGUAACGGCUCACCAAGGCGAUGAUGGGUAGCCGGCCUGAGAGGGUGAACGGCCACAAGGGGACUGAGACACGGCCCUUACUCCUACGGGAGGCAGCAGUGGGGAAUAUUGGUCAAUGGACCAAAAGUCUGAUCCAGCAAUUCUGUGUGCACGAUGACGUUUUUCGGAAUGUAAAGUGCUUUCAGUUGGGAAGAAAAAAAUGACGGUACCAACAGAAGAAGUGACGGCUAAAUACGUG
rnacentral:rRNA from 1 species